rnacentral:lncRNA from 1 species
AUUAUAGAACGUGGGGAGCAUGAGAAAUACACGGAGGUGGAAACGCCGGAGUGGCUGGCGGGUAAAGGCAGCGGGCGCAGAUGAAGCGGGCUGGGCGUCCCACGCGCAGAACCGUCCCGGACAGAAGCCGCAGGGCUGCGCUGGCUGGAAAAAGGAACGCGAGUACAGCGCGCGUGGCGCGGGGUCUGCUCCAGGACGGAAUCUUUUGGGUGGCCCGCAUGAGGGGUUUGCAGGACCCCGGGCCUUUGGGAAGUUAUCUGCUAAACUCCAGUAGACCCUGAGGAGCAGCGGCUCAUGAAUCUUCUUAAACUUCUGUCAUCAGCGGCUGGGCCAGCUGAAGGUGACCAUGGCACACGAGGGAGAGAGAAGCCCGCGAGAGGCGGAGAAAUGUGGGGUCGUCCAGGAGGGUCGACAAGGCAAAGAACCUGAAGACGACCCAAAAGGGUACCUAGGUGGGGCCCUUUCAGGGACUUGGGGCAUAGGGUAGGGCGCAUGGGACGAGGUGGGUGAGCGCAAGGGACGAGAUGGGUGUGCGCAUGGGACGAGGUGGGUGGGAGCAUGAGACGAGGUGGGUGGGGCGGUGGGUGAGGUCUCCGCCCCCAGACGGGCUGGCGAGGAAGCAGGGAAGAAGUAACGUUGGGCUGGUGAGGCAACAGGUGGGGCGCACUGGAGCUGCGGGAUAAUAGGUGGAACAAACUGGGGACUACACUCGUGGGCGCACGUGCGGAAGAGGGACUGAGGAGGUUCUUGCGUGCUCCCCUCGAGCACCGCCGACAGCUUCACCCGCACCUCCUGCCUUCCGCACCGCUGACUCCUACCGCUCCGCGCACUGCGCGCCCCCAGCCCUAGUGCAGCCAGCUCCCGGCCGGGUCCGCGCGAGGGCCAGGCUGCCAACCUGCCCGCGGGCGGCUGGUGGUUGGGGAGGGCGUUGGGAGGAGGAGUCCCGCCGGGUGGACGCGCGCCCUUCAGCGGCGGAGGCGGAGGCGGCAGCGGCGAGGCCUGAGGGUGCGUGCUAGGGAGUCCUGGCGCGUCCUUCUUCUGCCGGCGUCCCCCUGCGCUUGCAGCUGCUCCCCGACGCCCGGGAGGCCCACCCGCUAGCCGCGAUGGGCGCGCAGAGCCCAAAAGGGCGACCCCCAAACAAAACUCACGCAUAUAAAUCCUCCAGAGACUUCCUCAUCCCCCCGCCAACACACACACACCCACACACACAUACACACAAUCAAAUCAAAUAGAAGCACUGUUAGGAAUUUUAUAUUGGCUAUGCAAAGUGCUUGAACGCACUGACUUUGGAGGCAAAUGCCUUGUCCCUAGUCCUGACUAGUCCAGAAUUUAUUUGCUGUGACCUAUGGCAAAUUGCUUGGUUUCUCUAAGCCUCCAUUUCCUAAGGCUUAUAUCUGAAAAUAACUAUAAGAGGAAAGGAUGCUAUUGUAUCCAACUCAGAGGGCAGUCCUGAUACUUACAUUGCGAGAACAUGUUAAGUGUUCCAUAAAUGGCAGAAGGGGCUGUGGAAGUUCAGUGAUUAUAGGUAGUUUAAUUUGUCUUAGUUUUCCUUUGUGAAAGCAUAAAUUACACCAGAGAAAGUCACAUAUGUAAGGAAUACUUUAUGCAAAGCUGUUGUCCUAGGGAAGAGAGACCAGAACUCAGUCUAAACUAACUCUGCUGAAACAAAGUGGGGCAGGGUUUUUAAGCUCUAGGAUGAGAGUAGAAAGGUGCUGGAGGGCUGUCGGAAGCAUACUGAGUUGUUUGCUGAGUUUACAAGUGUUUCCUCCGUGAUUAGGCCAGCUGUGUUUGCUAAUUGGCUCUCAGGGAAGUUAGGCUCCUACCCUCCCACAGAAACUGGGAGAUAGGGGGACCGUCUUCCUUGAUGAUUGCAUUUCAAAGGAAUGGCUCCCAGGUCCUUGACAAAGAUGAUUCUGGUUUGUAAAACUAGUAAGAGGCUAUUAAAAAGAGUUACAGAUAUCUCAAGACAGAGAAAGAAUUUACAGUGAAAAGCUUUCUAAAGAAAAUGCUCUGUAUUAAUCUGUUUUCACACUGCUGAUAAAGACAUACCCAAGACUGGGCAAUUUACAAAAGAAAGAGGUUUAUUGGACUUACAGUUCCACGUGGCUGAGGAGGCCUCACAAUCACGGCAGAAGGUGAAAGGUAUAUCUCACAUAGUGGCAGACAAGAAAGCUUGUGCAGGGAAACUCCCCAUUUGAAAACCAUCAGUUCUUAUGAGACUUACUCACUAUCAUGAGAAGAGCACGGGAACAACCCAUCCCCAUGAUUCAGUCAUCACUCACAGGGUCCCUCCCAUAACACGUGGGAAUUAUGGGAGCUACAAGAUGAGAUUUGGGUGUGGACACAGAGUCAAACCAUAUCAUGCUCUAAGAAAAGAAAGUUUUGGGCCUAGAGUCAGGAAAAAGCCUUUUCAAGUCAAGCUGAGAACUUUAAGGUGGUCUUGGCUACCUCAUUUUAUGCAAAGUAGGCAGAAAAUUUAAAAGAAAAGAAACAUAUUUAAGUACAAUUAAGAAAAUUACAGUGUUUCAGUUAAAGCAGUUCAGUGCUUUUUAGAAAAGGAGCUGAAAUUAAAUAGUAAGUAUAAAUUUAAUUCUAAUAAUUCAGGGCUAUGAACCAUGUAAUUGCUUAAUUUCCAAUAACUAUUUGUUCUUUUGCGACUACAGUUUGGCAGGUUGCCCUAAUAAUUUUCAGGCAUUUUAGGUUCAUGCUCCUUCCAACCCUCCUUUUCCCUUACAAGGGUUGCAUCCAAGUUAUGAGGGAUAAGGGUGGGGGGUGUUUCAUAUUUAGGACCAGGAUGUUGAUGUGUACUUAUUCCUGGCCAGGCUGUUUUGGAGUCAGGACUCUUGCGCUAUAAGAUCCCCCAAAUCUAUUUUGGGAAUAGUGAAAGGGAUGGGAUGAUGCUGAGGAGCCGGGCUUCGGCAUUUCCUUAUUGUGCAUUAUUUCCAAUCCGUUGUUUUACCCUGGAAAGGGUCAACUGAAAGAACUGGCCAUUGUCUUUGUAGGUAUUAAGUAUUGCUCUGUCUUCCCCGAGACCAAAAAAUAAAAGAUUGAAUGAGGGAUGGUACUGAAUUGAAAACUUAUGGUUAAUAUUCCAAAACAUUACCCACUAAAAGAGCAAGAGAAAAAAGUUAGUGGGAGAGUGUUUCAGAUGAUUCCUUCUUCACAGGUUUACCUGUUCCCCCACCUGAAGAGUUAAUUAGAAAAACAAUACAGGUACAUUACAUAAAAUUCAAACUCUAUAGACAUACAAUUUGUAAAAUGUGUAAGUCCCCCAUUUUCCACCUCCUGAGGACAUACUAUCAACAGAUCUUCUACCAUUUUUCUUUUCUGUACAUGUACUUCUUUUCUCUACAUAUAUAUUUUUCCAAACAAUGUGUUUAUAUCAUGUAUAAUAUUUUGCAGUUUACUUUUUCUACCUUAGUAGUAUAUUAUCCUCUCAUGACAGUGUAUCUAUAUCUAUCCCUUCUUUGUAACAGAGGAACAGGAUUUUAUUGAAGGUAUUGGCAUGAUUUAUGUAAUCAUUCUUUCUGUUUUCAUUUGAUCUUACUGUUUUCCAGUGUUAUCAUGAACAUCUUUCUGCCUGAAUCUUUGUUUUGCUAUGGUUUUGCUUUAUGAACUUUGUUUCUAGGUUUGUUUGCUUUUUUUUUAAAUAGCCUUUAAGACUUGGAUCUGCUGCAUAAAUUCCUUUAAAGUUUGCAGACAUGUAUUGAGUGUAUUGAUCAGCUGCACUAAGGAGUAAGCACCUGAUGUGAAGCCCCCUUCCAUGAAAAAUCCUUUAAGAAUGGCAUAGUUGUGAAGUUGGAAGGCUGUAUGAAUCACAAAUUGAUUUUACCCCAUCACCACAUCAGCCAAACACCUGCUCUGCCAUUUUGAUUAAGAUUCGUCAUGUAUUUCAUGCCAGUAAUCCCAGCACUUUGGGAAGCCAAGGCAGUUGGAUCACCUGAGGUCAGGAGUUUGAGACCAGCCUCAACAACAUGGUUAAACCCCAUCUCUACUAAAAACACAAAAAAUUAGCCAGGCGUGAUGGCACGCACCUGUAAUCCCAGCUACUUGGGAGGCUGAGGCAGGACAAUCGCUUGAACCCGGGAGGUGAAGGUUGCAGUGAGACGAGAUCGCGCCAUUGCACUCCAGCCUGGGCAACAAGAGCAAAACUCCAUCUCAAAAAAAAAAAAAAAUUAAUCAUGUAUUAAUUGAGAUUUGCAGGGCCGUGUGCUUUAUAUAAAACAAUGCACAAUGCACUAAGCUCCAUGGUGUUUGAGAGACAAAGGAGAACAAGAUACCAUCCCCACCACUGGGUAGUUUAAGAUUAUUGUCUGUAUCCAGUAUAUAGCAAUUGUAAUGAUUUCUAAAAUGUUUUUCUAUUGAGAUACAGUUUACAUGAAAUGAAGUGCUCAGAUUUUGAGUGACAGUUUGAUCAGUUUCAAAGAAUGUGCACACCUAAUCAAGACACAGAACAUUUCUGUAACACCAGAAAAUUCCCUCUUGCCCUUUCCUAAUCAAUCACAAACCCCUCCCCUAUAACCAUUGAUGUCAUUUUUGCCUAUACCUUUAUAUGAAUGGAAUCAUGCAGAAGAUACUAUUUUGGGUAUCUUACUUUGUCUUCCUUGUACCCCUUUGUGAAAUCCUCCCAUGCCUAGACCUCGACAACUGCUGGUCUGUUUUCUGCCCCUGUAGUUUUGUAUGAAUUCUUUACGUAUUCUGUUUGCCCAGGCUGGAGUGCAGUGGUGUGAUCUCAGCUCACUGCAACCUCUGCCUCCCAGGUUCAAGCAAUCCUCCCACCCCAGCCUCCUGAGUAGCUAAGGUUACAGGCAUGUGCCACCACACCUGGCUAAUUUUUUUUGUAUUUUUUAUCAGAUAUGUAUUGUGAAUAAAUACCUAUUGUGAAUAAAAUUCUUUAUUAGAUAUGUAUUAUGAAUAUUUUCUUUCUCCACUUGCAUUUCUGUUUCCUUAGCAGUAUCUUUACAAGAGUACAUUUUUUUUUUUGUAUUUUAAUGGAGUUUAAUUUACCAAUUUUUCCUUUAUGGCUCAUACCUUGGGUAUGCAAAGUAAGAAAUCCCUACCCCCUUGAAGGUAACAGAGAUUUUCUCCUAAGUUUCUUCAUUUUAUUCAUUCCUCCUGUUUUCUUUUAAAUUUGUACUUUUAGCUUCCUUCAUUUAGGUCUGUGACCCAUCUCGAGUUAAUUUCUUGUUCCUAGUAUGAGGUAAAGUUGGUGCUAUUGUUUUUCCCCCAUAAGGAUAUUCAGUUAUUCCAGCACUGUUUUUUUUAAAGACUUCUCUUUGUUCCCUUGGUACUUUUGUGGGAAAAAAAAAUUGACCAUCUUAGUGUGGGUCUAUUUCUGGACUCCGUUCAGUUUCAUUGAUGUAUGUAUCUGUGUCUUCACCAAUACCACACAGUUUUAAUUACAGUAAUUUUAUAUAUCUUGAAAUCAGAUAGUAUAAGACCUCUAGUUUUGUUCUUUUCUAAAGUUGUUUUUGACUAUUCCAGCACUAGAAUUUCUACACAGUUGCUUAUUGGAACUUUGAUGGGAUUGUAUUUAUUUUCAUAAAGGCUCACCUACAAUGUGUUGUAAAGCUUCUGAAAGUAAGUAAUGACUUGUCAGUUUUAAUUGACACUAUGGUUAUGAGUGAAUAUGAGGAUCUUUUGUUAUGUUUGAGGACUAUUUUUCUUUGAACUGUUUUUUUUUUUCAUUUUUCAAAUUUUUUUUAUUAUACUUUGAGUUCUGGGGUACAUGUACAGAACGUGCAGUUUUGUUACAUAGGUAUACACGUGCCAUGGUGGUUUGCUGCACCCAUCAACCCAUCACUACAUUAGGUAUUUCUCCUAAUGCUGUCCCUCCCCUAGCCCUCCACCCACCGACAGGCUCCAGUGUGUGAUGCUGCCCUCCCUGCGUCCAUGUGUUCUCACUGUUCAACUCCCAUUUAUGAGUGAGAACAUGGGGUGUUUGGUUUUCUGUUCUUGUGUUAGUUUGCUUAGAAUGAUGGCUUCCAGCUUCAUCCAUGUCCCUGCAAAGAACAUGAACUCAUCCUUUUUAUGGCUGCAUAGUAUUCCAUGGUGCAUAUAUGCCACACUUUCUUUAUCCAGUCUGUCAUUGGUGUACACUUAGGUUGGUUCCAAGUCUUUGCUAUUGUGAAUAGUGCAAUUCACGUACGUGUGCACGUAUCUUUAUAGUAGAAUGAUUUAUAAUCCUUUGGGUAUACACCCAGUAAUGGGAUUGCUGGGUCAAAUGGUAUUUCUAGUUCUAGAUCCUUCAGGAAUCACCACACUGUCUUCUACAAUGGUUGAACUAAUUUAUACUUCCACCAACAGUGUAAAAGCAUUCCUAUUUCUCCACAUCCUCUCCAGCAUCUGUUGUUUCCUGGCUUUUUAAUGAUCACCAUUCUAACUGGCAUAAGAUGGUAUCUCAUUGUGGCUUUGAUUUGCAUUUCUCUAAUGACCAGUGAUGAUGAGCUUUUUUCCAUAUGUUUGUUGGCUGCAUAAAUGUCUUCUUUUGAGAAGUGUCUGUUCAUAUCUAUCACCCACUUUUUGAUGGGGAGAACAUUUUUGCAAUCCAUCUGACAAAGGGCUAAUAUCCAGAAUCUACAAAUAAAUUAAACAAAUUUUUUUUUCAUUUUUCUAAUGGUUAUCCCUCCCCCUUCAAUUUAUAGACCUCUUCAUAUAUAUAUAUGUAUAUAUAUGUGUGUAUAUAUACAUAUAUGUGUAUAUAUGUGUGUAUAUAUACAUAUAUGUGUAUAUAUAUACGUAUAUAUAUAUAUAUGUGUAUAUAUAUACGUAUAUAUAUGUGUAUAUAUAUGUAUAUAUAUAUGUGUAUAUAUAUAUAUGAGAGAUUAGCCCUUUAUCUGUGAUACAAGUUAUUUUCUCCCAGUUUGUUAUUUAUCUUUUGGCUUUGUGUUGACAUUUACUUCAUAAAACAUAUUUGUAAGUACUAUGUUAUCAGACUUAUCUUGAUACUAGAUUUUGAUUCAUGGAGACUUUUCCCACUCCCACAUUUUAUAUUUUUCCAAAUGACUAUCCAUUUGUUACAACACCAUUUACUAUAAAGUAGAAUUUUUUCCCAGUUAGUUGGGAUGUUACCUAUAUAAUAAACUAAAUUUCUAUAUGUAUUUUGGUUUAUUUCUAGACUUUCUAUUCUGUUCCAUUUGGCUGUCUUUCAAUUUACGUACCAGUACAACACAUUUUUAACUACAGAGACUUUAUAGUAUGUUUUAAUAUUUGGUAGAGCUAGUUGCACAGCUUUUCCUAUACGUUGUCUUCUAGUAGUUUUAUAGUUUCAGGUAUUACAUUUAAGAAUUUAAUCCGAAUGGCCAGGCGUGGUGGCUCACGCCUGUAAUCCCAGCACUUUGGGAGGCCGAGGCAGGCAGAUUACGAGGUCAGGAGAUCGAGACCAUCCUGGCUAACACAGUGAAACCCUGUCUCUACUAAAAAUACAAAAAAUUAGCCAGGCCCACGUGGUGGUGGGUGCCUGUAGUCCCAGCUACUCGGGAGGCUGAGGCAGGAGAAUGGCAUGAACCUGGGAGGCAGAGCUUGCAGUGAGCGGAGAUCAUGCCACCGCACUCCAGCCUGGGCGACAGAGUGAGACUCUGUCUCAAAAAAAAGAAAAGGAAAAAAAAAAAGAAUUUAAUCCAUUUUGAGUUGAUUUUGUACAUGGUAUAAGAGUCUAAUUUCAUUCUUUUGCAUGUAUAAUCCACAUUUCUAAACUCCAUUUAUUAAAGACACUAUCUUUUCUCCCAUUGUGUGUUCUUGGCAUCUUUGUCAAAAAUCCAUUAAUUGGUGGUAAAUGUGUGAGUUUAUUUUGGGGCUAUCUAUUGUCUUCCUUUGGUCUAUGUGUCUGUUUUUAUAGCAGUACCAUGCUGUUUUGAUUACUGUAGAUUUGUAAUAUAUUUUGAAGUCAGGAAGUAUGAUGCCUCCAUUUUGUUCAUUUUCCUCAAAAAUGUUUUAGAUAUUUGGGGUUUUGUGGUACAAUAAAAAUUUUAUGACUUUUAAUCUAUUUCUUUGAAAAGUGUCAUUGGGAUUUUGAUAGGGAUUGCAUUCAAUCUGUAGAUCACUUUUGGUAGUAUGGACAUUUUAACAAUAUUGUUUCAAUCCAUGAACAUGGAAUAUCUUUCUUUUUAUUUGUGUCUUCAAGUUCUUUCAUCAAUGUUUUAUGAUUUUCAAUAUACAGCUCUUUCACUUCCUUGGCUAUAUUUGUUCAUAAGUAUUUUUCAUAGCUAUCGUAAAUACAGUUGCCUUUUUUAUUUCACUUCAGAUGGUUUAAUGCUAAUGUAUAGAAACUUUUUUUUUUUUUUUUUUGAGACAGUUUCGCUUUUGUUUCCCAGGCUGGAGUGCAAUGGCGAAAUCUCGGCUCACUGCAACCUCCGCCUCCCAGAUUCAAGUGAUUCUCCUGUCUCAGUCCCCCAAGUAGCUGGGAUUACAGAUGUGUGCUACCAUGCCUGGCUAACUUUGUAUUUUUAGUAGAGAUGGGGUUUCACCAUGUUGGUCAGGCUGGUCUUGAACUUCUGACUUCAAGUGAGCCAAUUGCUUCAGCCUCCCAAAGUGCUGAGAUUACAGGUGUGAGCCACCAUGCCCGGCUGAAACUAUUAUUUUUGUAUGUUGACUUUAUAUCCUGUAACUUUAUUGUAUUUUAUUAGUUCUAGCAGUGUUUUCACUGACAUUUUAGGGUUUUCAUGUUAUCUGCAAACAGGAACCAUUUGGCUUCUUCUUUUCCAAUUUGGAUGGCUUCUCUUUCUUUUUUUGCCUGAUUGCUCUGGCUAGGUCUUCCAUUACUAUAUUGAAUAGGAGUCGUAAGAGUGGACAUCUUUGUACCUUUCCUGAGAUACUUUUGGAAAAAGCUUUCUAUUUUUUACUCUUGUGUAUGAUAUUAAUGGUGAGCUUGUCAUAUAUAGUCUUUAUUGUGUUGAGUUACAUUCCUUCAGUGCCUAAUAUGGUUAGAGUUUUUAUCAUGAAAGGAUAUUGAAUUUUGUCAAAUGCUUCUUCUGCAUCUGUUGAGAUAAUAUAUGGUCUUUGUCCUUUAUUCUGUUAAUGUGGUGUAUUAAUAUUUACUUGCAUAUGUUGAACCAUCCUUGGAUCUCAAAGAUAAGUCUCACUUUAUUGUGGUGAGUGAAUGAUCCUUUUAAUAUGCUGUUGAAUUCAGUUUGCUAGUAUUUUGUUGAGGAUUUUUGCAUCUAUGUUCAUCAGGGAUAUUAGCCUGUAAUUUUUUUUUUUUUUUUGAGAUGGAGUCUCACUCUGUUGCCCAGGCUGGAGCGCAGUGGCAUGAUAUCAGCUUACUGCAACCUCUGCCGCCUCCCACGUUCAAACAAUUCUCUUGCCUCAGCCUCCCGAGUAGCUGGGAUCACAGGCAUGUGCUACCAUGCUCAGCUAAUUUUUGUAUUUUUAGUAGAGAUGGGGUUUCACCACGUUGGCCAGGCUGGUCUCAGACUCCUGCCCUGCUCAUCUCGGCCUCCCAAAGUGCUGGGAUUACAGUCAUGAGCCACCGUGCCUGGCCAGCCUGUAAUUUUCUUGUAUGUCCUUGUCUGGCUUUGGUGUCACGAUAGUGCUGGCUUCAUAAGAUGUGUUUGGAAAUAUUUUUUCUUCAACUUUUUGGAGUUUGAUAAGGAUUGGUCCUAUUUCUUAUUUAAAUGUUUUGUAGAAUUCAGCCCAGAAGCCAUCUGAUUCUAGGCUUUUCUUUAAUGGGAGACUUUUUAUUACUGAUUCAAUCUUUUUUUUUAAUCAGUCUAUUUGUUAUCAGUCUGUUGUCAGUCUAUUUUAUCAGUCUGUUAUCAGUCUGUUCAGAUUUUCUUUUUCUUUGUGAUUAAUACUUGGUAGGAUUAAUACAGGUAGGAAUUUUUUCAUUUCUUCUAGGUUAUCUAAUUUGUUGACAUAAUUGUCAUCAUAGUCUCUAAUGAUAAUUUGUAUGUCUGUAGUAUCCAUUAUAAUGUUUCCUUUUUUAUUUCUGAUUUUACUUGAAUCUCCUCUCCUUUUUUAUUAGUUAUUCUAGCUAAAAGUUUGUCUGUUUUAUCUUUUUCACAAGUUUUGUUGAUUUUUUUUCUAUUGUUUCUUUAGUCUCUAUUUCAUUUAUUUCUGCUCUGAUCUUUAUUUUAUCCUUCCUUCUGUGAACUUUGUGCUUAGUUUGUCCUUGUUUUCCUAGUUCCUGGUUUUCUAGUUUCCAAUUGUAGUUCCUAUACCUAGUUUCUAGUUAUAAUGUUAGGGUGUUUGAGAUCUUUCUUCUUUUUUGAUGUAGAUGUUUAUUGCUAUAAACUUCACUCUUAGAACCAUUUUUGCUGUAUACUAUAUAUCUUAUAUAUUUUUGUAUGUUGUGUUUCCGUCUUCAUUUGCCUCAAGAUAUUUUUAAAUGAUCCCUUUAAUUUCUACAUUGACCCAUUGGUUGUUUGGGAGAAUGUUGUUUAAUUACCAUAUGCGUCUGCAUUUUCUGAAAUUCUGUCUAUUUUUGAUUGUUAGUAUAAUACCAUUGUGGCCGGAAAAGGUAUUUGAAAUGGAUUUCAGGCUUCAUAAAUUUAUUAAGAUUUAUCUUGUGGCCUAACAUAUGAACUCUCCUGGAGAACGUUCUGUGUGUGCUUGAGAAGAAUGUGUACAAUUGACCCCCCCAUAUCUGUGUGUUCUACAUCCACAGAUUCAACUCUGGGCCAAAAAUAGUAAAAAAAUAAUAAUAUGAUAAUAAUGCAAAUAAAAAGCAAUACAGUGUAACAAAUAUUUAUAUAGAUUUUAUAUUAGGUACUAUGAGUAUCUAGAGAAAAUCUGAGGCAUAAGGAGUAUGUGUGUAGAUUAUAUGCAAAUACUACACCAUUUUAUAUAAGACAUUGAGCAUCCAUGGAUUUUGCUAUCCUCAGGGGUCUAGAACUAGGCAUUAGCAUUGUGCCUAGUUGGGGCUUACCUGUAGCCUGUGUCCACUGGUGCCAGCCUGGAGGCUGGGUGUAUGGUUGCUAGUCCAGAAGCUAGGUCUGUGAAGAACUGAGUCCUGGAGCCAUGGUAGUGUCCCCAGAAUUGGUGGGUUCUUGGUCUCACUGACUUCAAGAAUGAACCCACGGACCCUCGCGGUGAGUGUUACAGCUCUUAAGGUGGCGCGUCUGGAGUCUGUCCUUUCUGAUGUUCAGAUGUGUUCGGAGUUUCUUCCUUCUGGUGGGUUCGUGGUCUCGCUGGCUCAGGAGUGAAGCUGCAGACCUUCGCAGUGAGUGUUACAGCUCUUAAGGCAGCGCGUCUGGAGUUGUUCGUUCCUCCCGGUGGGUUCGUGGUCUCGCUGGGCUCAGGAGUGAACCUGCAGAUCUUCGCGGUGAGUGUUACGGCUCAUAAAAGCAGCGUGGACCCAACGAGUGAGCAGUAGCAAGAUUUAUUGCAAAGAGCGAAAGAACAAAGCUUUCACAGUGUGGAAGGGGACCCGGGCGGGUUGCCAAUGCUGGCUAGGGCAGCCUGCUUUUAUUCUCUUAUCUGGCCCCACCUACAUCCUGCUGAUUGGUAGAGCUGAGUGGCCUGUUUUGUCAGGGCGCUGAUUGGUGCGUUUACAAUCCCUGAGCUAGAUACAAAGGUUCUCCACGUCCCCAUCAGAUUAGUUAGAUACAGAGUUUCGAUUGGUGCACUCACAAACCUUGAGCUAAACACAGGGUGCUGAUUGGUGUGUUUACAAACCUUGAGCUAGAUACAGAGUGCUGAUUGGUGUAUUUACAAUCCUUGAGCUAGACAUAAAGGUUCUCCAAGGCCCCACCAGAGCAGCUAGAUACAGAGUGUUGAUUGGUGCACUCACAAACCUUGAGCUAAACACAGGGUGCUGAUUGGUGUAUUUACAAUCCCUGAGCUAGAUAUAAAGACUCUCCACAUCCCCACCAGACUCAGGAGCCCAGCUGGCUUCACCUAGUGGAUCCCGCACCAGGGCUGCAGGUGGAGCUGCCUGCCAGUCCCGCGCCGUGUGCUCGCAUUCCUCAGCCCUUGGGUGGUCGAUGGGACUGGGUGCCAUGGAGCAGGGGGUGAUGCUCGUGGGGGAGGCUCGGGCUGCACAGGAGCCCAUGGAGUGGGUGGGAGGCUCAGGCAUGGCGGGCUGCAGGUCCCAAGCCCUGCCCCGCGGUAAGGCAGCUAAGGCUCGGUGAGAAAUGGAGUGCAGCACCGGUGGGCUGGCACUGCCGGGGGACCCAGUACAUCCUCUGCAGCCACUGGCCUGGGUGCUAAGUCCCUCACUGCCCGGGGCCAGCAGGGCUGGCUGGCUGCUCCGAGUGCGGGGCCCGCCAAGUCCACGCCCACCCGGAACUCCAGCUGGCCCACAAGCGCCGCAGGCAGCCUCGGUUCCCGCUCGCGCCUCUCCCUCCACACCUCCCUGCAAGCUGAGGGAGUGGGCUCCAGCCUUGGCCAGCCCAGAAAUGGGCUACCACAGUGCAGCGGCGGGCCAAAGGGCUCCUCAAGUGCCGCCAAAGUGGGAGCCCAGGCAGAGGAGGCGCCGAGAGCGAGUGAGGGCUGUGAGGACUGCCAGCACGCUGUCACCUCUCAUUAGGACCUGGGUUCACAAGGCUUGGCACAGGGAAGGCCUGGGCCCUGUGUUUGCAGGUGCCUGCCAGGUGUUUGAGCCCAGGUGUGCCAUCCUUGUUCUAGGAUGGGGCUGAAGCCCAGGGCCACUGGGGCCUGCCUAGUGCUUGGGUCAGCCUACUGCAGGGGCAGGACCAGAGACCAAGUCCACCAGGCUGGGCUGGAACCUGGGACUGCAGAAUCUGGCCUGACAUUAGUAUGGGCUUGGAGGCUCAGUUUGCUGAUACUAGCCUGGCAAUGGGUAAGCCUGGAGCCUGUAUCCAUAGGGGCCAGCCUGGCAGCUGGGUCUACCAGGUAGGCCCAGAACCUGGAGCUGUGAGAUCUAGCCUGGUGCUAGGGCAGACGUGAAGGCUCAGUCCCCGACUUAUUUUCUUGAUGUUAGGUUAGAUUUUGAUGGGCAGAAAUUUUAGAUUUUGAUAAAGCCCCUUUUUUAUGGUUUGUGUCCUUAGUAUCCAUUUUAAGAAAUCGCUGCCUACCCCAAGGUCAGAAAGAUAUUCUGUAGUAAUAGUAGAGAUUUUAAAGUAUCUUAUGUUCAUCUUAUGUCAUAUUCAGAAAAAUUGCUUGUAGGAGUAGUUGACUAUAGCAUUUUGUUAUUUUUUUCCAGAGAGGAUUCAUUUUUUAUACUAGGCAGCUGUCAGUACUUGCAAUCUUGGGAGCGCCCUCAUCCAGUAUCAAGGAUUGAGAUAAUUUGAAGCCGGGAUUUGUAGAAGCUAAAAGGAUUGAGAUUAUUUGCAGUCCCAGGGAAGGUCAAUCUCCUUUAGGUUUCUCCUUACUUAUAAAGUCAAGUCCUAAUCUAAUCCCUUCCAUUCUUGGCUCUGAAUUCCAGCUCUCUUUCUCGUAGCCCCAAGAAUUUAAGUCAGAUAUUCAUGGUCACAUAGUUGUGAAAUCCCACAUGGUAGUGGUACGAUUUCAACCUAGGCAGUCUAACUUCAGAUCCUGGGUUAUUAAAAGGAACCUUCCACGUCACCCCUACCAUGAGGGAUGAGUUUCAUUUGUUUUGUUUCCCAUUGUACACCCACACCUCACAUGACAUGUAGUAGGUAUUCAGAAAAUAUUCAAUAUAAGAAUGAACCUUCUCUUGGUCCAUUUGGGAUACUAUAGCAAGAUACCACAGACUAUGUGGCUUAAAAACAGUAGUUUAUUGCUUACAGUUCUGAUGGCUGUGAAGUCCAAGAUCAAGGUGGCAGCACAUUCCUUGUCUAGUGAGGACCCCUUUCCUGGUUGGCCUGUCUUUUCUUUGUGUCCUCACAUGGUGGAAGGAAUGAGGGAUCUCUGUGGGGACUCUUUUAUAAGGGAACUCAUCCCAUUCUAAUACCUCUCUAAAUCCCCACUUCAUUUUUAUUUUUAUUUAUUUAAUUUUUUGAGAUAGAGUUUCACUCGUUGCCCAGAUAGAGUUUCACUCUUGUUGCCCAGGCUGGAGUGCAAUGGCGCAAUCUCAGCACACUGCAACCUCUGCCUCCCUGGUUCAAGUGAUUCUCCUGCUUCGAUUCUCCUGCCUCAGCCUCCCGAAUAGCUGGGAUUACAGGUGUCCACUACCAGGCCCGGCUAAUGUUUUGUAUUUUUAGUAGAGACAGGGUUUCACCAUGUUGGCCAGGCUGGUCCAAACUCCUGACCUCAGGUGAUCCACCCGCCUCGGCCUCCCAAAGUGUUGGGAUUACAGGCAUGAGCCACUGUGCCUGGCCCCUAAAUCCCCACUUCAAAAUACCUUAACCUUGGGUGUUAGGAUUUAACAUAUGAAGUCAGAGGAACAUAAACAUUCAGUUCAUUGCAAAUCUGUUCCCCUUAGCAAUACUAUUAAUGGUAGUUACUUCCAAUCUGAUAGAUUAUUGAAUAGCAUUUUGGGCUUAUAGUUGUGCUGUGAUUUUCUAUACUGUUUUGUUGCUUUGCCAUUGGUGGUGACUUACUUGUUUUUUGUUGUUUUUAAAUUAGUAUUUCCAUGGGGAUUGGGAAAGCUACUGGCAAGAUUUACCUGGAAACUUGCAUCAACAACUUACUGAUCUUUGUUUUGUGGUUGGUAUUUUAUUCAUAUUAGAAGCUCCAUAAAUGUUGACUAAAUUAAAAAUGUAGGUUGGGAGGCUGAGGCGGGCGGAUCACUUGAGGUCAGCAGUUCGAGACCAGCCAGGCAAACGUGGUGAAACCCCAUCUCUACUAAAAAUACAACAAUUAGCCGGGCAUGGUGGCAGACGCCUGUAAUCCCAGCUAUUCAGGCGGCUGAGGCAGAAGAAUCACUUGAACCCGGGAGGAAGAGGUUGCAGCGAGCUGAGACUGCACCACUGCAGCGUGGGUGACAGAGUGAGACUCUGUCUCAAAAAAAAAAAUAGGGAUAAACAACUGCUCAAAUAUUUUAAAUCUGUAUAUUUCUUAUUUUAAAUAUUAAAUAUUUCUUGUCUUUAAAGCUUGAUUAUAAAAUUAAGUAAUUUAAAUUUAAGUGAUGUGCUUGUCUAAAAUUUACACAUCAUUAGAUAAUCUUUUCUUUUUAAAAAAUAUUUACUCCCUCCAUAGAGUUGAACUUCCUCUCUUUUUAGAAGAAUGGAUUUCUCGGAGUCUGAAAAAUUUAUGGUUCUUCUCUGGAAGAAUUUUAUUUUAAAGAGGCGGCGAUGUAUUGCUUUAGUUGUGGAAAUGGUCCUCACAUUUCUGUUUAGUGCUGCGCUUUUGGCAACACGCUCUGUUAUUACUAUAAAUAAGAACGGACCUUUCGAUUUUGCUGCUCAGCCUGUCGAUGAAGUGCCUUUCUACAUCACAGCUUCCUUAAUUUCUCCUUCUCCUUUGGAAUUGGCUUACGUGCCUUCCAGAAGUACUGUGGUUCAGGGUAUUAUUGAAAGAGUGAAAAUGGAUUUAAACCCUCAAAUGAAAGGUUAGAAAUUAACAUUUUCUGAAAAAACAUACAGAAUUACUAAAUCGAUUUAGUGAAGACAUACUUACAACCUUAUUAACUGGUUCUUAACCUCCCAAGUAAAACAUCGUUGGAAUCCUCAUACUAAGUAUAAAUAUUAUGGACUUUGUUAAACUUGAAAGUUAAAUUUAUAUAAAAUAUUUUGUUCAUAGAGCCCAGAACAAAUAGUAAUAUUUCAAAAUGAGAUGACCAAUUAUUAUUAUUAUUCUAAGUUGUUAUCCAGUUUUGUGAUACUGUUUUUUCUAUCUGGUUGUGCUUCUUGAACCUGGGUAAGUAUACCUCCAGGGGUGUGUGAUUUUGUGCCACAGGUCAGUGGUCAGUUAUUUAAAAUAAUGUUUUAUAUUAAAAUGUGGUGUGAGUAAUAUAGGAAGGCUUUAGAAAACACUUAAGCUAUGUAGAAUUAUUUUAAAAGCCCUCAGUCUCUCACUUACCUUCAUAUUCCCGGAUCAGUUUCUUACCUCUUUCUCUUAGAGGUAAAUACUGUGAGAAGUUUAGGUCGGCCGGGCCCAGUGGCUCACGCCUGUAAUCCCAGCAUUUUGGGAGGCUGAGGUGGGCAGAUCACCUGAGGUCAGGAGUUCAAGACCAGCCUGGCCAACAUGGCAAAACCCCAUCUCUACUAAAAAUAUAAGAAUUAGCCAGACAUGGUGGUAUGCACCUAUAGUCCCAGCUACUUGGGAGGCUGAGGCAUGCGAAUUGCUUGAACCCAGGAGGAGGAGGAGGUUGCAGUGAGGUGAAAUUGCACCACUGCACUCCAGCCUGGGUGACAGACCAAGACUCUGUCUCAAAAAAAAAAAAAAAAAAGUUUGUGGGCAUCUCCCUAGCACACCUCUCUCUACACAUGUGCGUGCAUGUGCACACACACACACACACACACACACACACACAGUCAGGCAACUUUUCCAUCUUUUUUUGUCUUUCAAGAGAUAUGAGAGUCCUUGAGAGUAGAUGCCAUCUCAAAGCAUUCUUUUUUGUUGUUUGCUUUUUUUUAUCAAAGCAUUCUUUAAAAUAAAGACUGAAACAGGAGAAUAUGAAGUUCCCAGUAAUUUUUAAAUUCUACAACAAAAAUAUCUCAACAAAUUUAAAGUCUAUUAUGGGUUACUCCAAUAGUCGCUUUGGGUUACUCAAAAUAUUUUCUGAUUUCCACUCUGAUGUCUUCUUUGAUGCAUGGAAUUUCAAAAUUUUUAGAAAUGUGUUGCUGAACUUCCAAACACUGGGGGCUUCUUAUCUUUCUGUUGUUGAUUUCUGUUUUAAUUUCCUUUCAUCAGAGAGUAUACUCAAUUCCAGUUCUUUGACAUUUUGAGAACUGUUUAUGACUAGUACAUGGUAUAUUUUGAUAAAUGUUUUCUGUGAAUUUGUAAAAACUAUGUGUGCUAUAGGUUUUGCUUCUGGUGUUCUAUAAAUGCCACCUGGGCAAAGUUGGCUAAGUGUCAUGCUUUUCAAGUCAUCUGUAUUCUUUUUUUUUUUUUUUGGUCUGCUUAUUAUAUCAGUCAUUGAAAGAAGUACCUGAAAUAAUACCUGAUUUCCAGUCAGGUAUUAUUAGGAUUAAAUAGGUUAUAUAUUGUAUAUAUUAAUUUUUUUUUUCUUGAGACGGAGUCUCGCUCUGUCACCAGGCUGGAGUGCAGUGGCGCGAUCUCGGCUCACUGCAACCUCCCACCUCCCAGGUUCAAGCGAUUCCCCUGCCUCAGCCUCCCAAGUAGCUGGGACUACAGGCGCCUGCCACCACGCCUGGCUAAUUGUUUGUAUUUUUAGUAGAGACCAUGUUGGCUAGGAUGGUCUGGAUCUCUUGACCUUGUGAUCUACCCCCUCAGCCUCCCAAAGUGCUGGGAUUACAGGUAUGAGCCACCGUGCCCAGCCUGUAUAUAUUAAAAUUUAUACAUUUUUAAGAUAUUAAAAUUUCCAACUGAGAUUUAGCUAUUUUUCUUUUUGCUUAUUUAUUUUGAAUUACAGUUCAUGUGAUCCUUCCAUUGAAUAAUUUUAAAAACAAUAUUUUUCAGUUCUGGAAUUUCCAUUUAUCUCUAUUUUGAAUAGGUUCCAGGUCUCUUGGAAAAUGUACCAUUUUUGAGUUUAUUAACCAUAUCAACCAUAGUUACUUUAAAGUCUCUGCCAGGAAGUUCUGGUAUCUGGAUUACUUGUUUAUCUUUUUUUUUUUCUUUUAUGCCAUUGAGUUCUAUUUUGUAACAUGCCUUGUAUAUUUUUAUCAAAUCCAAGAUGUUGCAGAUGAAAAAUUUUGAAGGCUCUUGGGGAUAUUUCUUUAUCCAAAGAGGGUUAAAUUUUCUUUUGGAUCAUUAUUAGAGUACUGGUAACUCCCUCUGCCCCCACUGAAGGCUGGUUUUAGCUUCACUAAAGACUGCCCUAUUUCUGUUUUCUCUUUACUUCUGGGCAUAAUCCUGGUCCUAGUGCGUGAUUGAUCCUUACUCCUAAGGCAUGACCAUUCCAUGAUUUCAACUGAAAGUCGGGGGUUCAAGAAGGCUCCUUACCUGUGGGGCUUGAACUCCAUCCUCUGUCUCCCCAGCCUGGUGCUGCUGCUGAAAUCACUGCUCAGCAUUUUUGCCCUCCAGCCACUGUCAUCUACCUGCCUGUACUCACUUGGAAGACUAGAAGUUCAUACCCAGGCUUUCGCCCCUCUUCCUGGGUACACAUAGUUAAUUAAGGCAGCUGACAGUCAAAGAUGAAUACCCGGGGCGGAUGCAGUGGUUCACACCUGUAAUCCCAGCACUUUGGGAGGCAGAGGCGGGAGUUCACAAGGUCGGGAGAUCGAGACCAUCCUGGCUAACAUGAUGAAACCCCCAUCUCUACUAAAAAUACAAAAAAUUAGCCAGGUGUGGUGGCAGGUGCCUGUAGUCCCAGCUACUCGGGAGACUGAGGCAGGAGAAUCGCUUGAACCCAGGAGGCAGAGGUUGCAGUGAGCUGAGAUCGCAACACUACACUCCAGUCUGGGUGACAGAGCAAGACUCAAUCUCAAAAAAAAAAAAAAAAAAAAGAGAGAAAUAAAAAGAUGAAUACCCAGGGAAAACAUUUUAGAUAUCUGAUGAGACCAGGAACAAUGAAAGGAAGAAAGAAAAUGGAACCUCCUAUACCAGGAGAAGCAGAACUAGUGUAACUACUGGAGGGGUGAGGAGAAGAGCUGCCCAGGCAUCUGGAGUUUCAGCUGGGGUUCAGCUCUGCCCCAUCACCCCAGGCUGAGGCAUUGCUUUCUUAUGCAUGACCAUUAUGGAAAGAACAACUAUCCCCAGUCUAGGCUUUCAGGACAUGGUUACAUGUUUAUGUGUGUUUAAUGCUCUCCUUAUUGGGGCUAAGCAAGUUGGGUAUAUAUUGGAAUGAAAAAAGUUGAAAGUUAGAUUCUUUUAGGGUUGGGUUUUUUGUUUGUUUUGUUUUGGCCAGGUCACUAGGAUUGAAGGUGGGAGAGACAAAUGAAUUGAAGAAUUGGAAGAGUUAUUGAAGACAUAGGUCCUGGAAUCUAAAUUGGAAAGGAAACGAAGUUAGGAAAAGAAUGAUUUUAGAUGUCAAGUGAUGGGAAUGUAAAAUGGCUCUUGAUCAAAGACCUCUGAAGCUUCACAUCAUAUAACCAGUGCAUCACCAGCUCCAUACAUCAAUAUCGCUCUACAGCAGUUUCUCUAGGACAAUGGUCCCCAACCUUUUUGGCACCAAGGACCAGUUGCAUAGAAG